UCCUACGGGGGGCAGCAGUGGGGAAUAUUGCACAAUGGGGGGAACCCUGAUGCAGCGACGCCGCGUGAGUGAAGAAGUAUUUCGGUAUGUAAAGCUCUGUCAGCAGGGAAGAAGAAAGACGGUACCUGACCAAGAAGCCCCGGCUAACUACGUGCCAGCAGCCGCGGUAAUACGUAGGGGGCAAGCGUUAUCCGGAUUUACUGGGUGUAAAGGGAGCGCAGACGGCAGUGCAAGUCUGGAGUGAAAGCCCGGGGCCCAACCCCGGAACUGCUCUGGAAACUGUGCGGCUAGAGUACUGGAGGGGG
rnacentral:rRNA from 1 species